rnacentral:rRNA from 1 species
AGAGUUUGAUCAUGGCUCAGGAUAAACGCUGGCGGCGUGCAUAACACAUUCAAGUCGAACGGUGCGAGGUGAAGCUUGCUUCACCGAAGCAUAGUGGCGGACGGGUGAGUAACGCGUGAGCAACCUGCCUGUGUGAGGGGAAGUAACGUCCGGAACGGACGCUAUACCGCAUGAAGCACGGACACCGCAUGGUGACCGUGCCAAAGAUUUAUCGCACACAGAUGGG